ensembl:lncRNA
UCUCUCUCUCUCUCUCUCUCUAUAAGGGCACAGGGCGAGACCCAGACGCAGAAACGGGAGGCAGAUGGUUAGAGUCUCUGAUAUUUAUUAUAAUCCAACAGGCAGGCAAGAAAAUUGUCGUGGACAGGCAAAAUAUCAUAAACAAGGUCAGAGUCCAGGAGGAACAGAGUGACAUGCAGGUUCAGAGUCAGGGCAGGAUGGUCAGGCAGGCAGGUUCAGAGUCAGGGCAGGCAGUAUGGGAAGGCAGGCAGGUUCAGAGUCAGGGCAGGCAGUAUGGUCAGGCAGGCAGGUUCAGAGUCAGGGCAGGCAGUAUGGGAAGGCAGGCAGGUUCAGAGUCAGGGCAGGCAGUAUGGUCAGGCAGG